CAACGGGGCAACAGUUGUAAAAACAAACCACAUUUGAGGCUACACGGGCUGCACAGUCAGACUCUUUCUGCUCACCACACACACACACACACACUGAGAGAAAGAGGGUCGUCAGAAAUGGAAAAGUUGAUUUUUCAGACAGUGAGGAACUGCCGAGACGCCACAAGAAUCGAGAUUUUGGCUAAUCUGCAGCCAGCGUGCGUUUGUGUGUGUGAGCGCGCGCGCGCGCGUGUGUGUGCGUUUUUUUUUAUUUUUUUUUGUCAGCAUACCUAAAAUCUCCGAAGCGUCGAAGAAAACCCCCAUUAGUGUCUGAUAUAUUGAAUUAUGUCCAGUUGGUCCGCGUUAUUCAAGUGCAAAUGACCGCGCUCGUGUCCAGAAAAGGCUUGGCCACAGGAUGUGCUGGAGGCAGGCGGAAAAAGUCUGCGCUUCCUCGGCGCAAACUUGACGAGCUCGACGACGCGUGAAGAUAAAAGGAGCGAAAGGGGAAACUUUAAGCGAGCUACUCGCUCGUUUAGCUGAAUAUAUAGAGUUGACAACCUACGGAAGUGUUACUUUAUGGUGGGUGUUUUUUCCACUCGGGUUCGAGGAGCUGCAGUGACUUCUGCGGACGUGCUGUGUUGUGUUGCGAGCGGCUGUGUGGACUGUAAGGAGCUCCAGUCUCCAGGCUGAGGUACUGAGGGACGCUCCGCUCCGCUUUACACCGGCGCUCAACAAGACCAGACCAAUGUUCACUUCACACGCCUUUCACAGCACAGACACACACGGCGAGUCAUGCUACGAGCUUUUUUCACUCAAAACUCGGACUAAUCGAAUCCUACAAAGCAUAUUAGCCUCAGUAUUACAGCCGUGUACCAGCCGCUAUUCCUCUAAUUUGACCAUUUAAGGCAUUUAAAGGACACCGUAGGGUGUUGUUUCUUCACCAAGGCUGCACUUCAUUGGUCCAGCUCUGCACCAGUGGACACUUCAGUGUCAGGCUGCUUACAACGACCUGUAACAGAAAAACUUCACGUUUAGCUUUCAGGUUCCAGGUGAUCUAAGAGGGCGAAAUCUUAGAGUAGCUUUGACUGUGUACUUACAAUGAUUUGGUAAAGUGCAGGACACUCCUGCUGGAACUCCAAACACAGAGCUGUCGCUCCUGCCUCAGUCAAGUGCACUUUCUCUCUUCUUCACACUUGCAGUAGCUAUAAAGGCAGACAGAGCAGGUCAGUAGGCCUACAACUCCUUAAUUGUCACAUAUUAAGAUCAUUCACUGAAUGUAAACAGGAGCCAAGUUUAAAGGACAAUACAGGAGUCAGGUUUAGUUUAUUUGAUGCCUUUUCAUUAUUGCCUUACAUUUUUUUUGUUUAUUAUUAGACAUAAAUUGACAUUUUUCAUAUUAUAGGUUUAAGUCAGCCCCUGUCUGUAAAUGUAAAUCAGUGUUUUUCAUAUAUUUAUGUGUCUUGUUAGCCUUGUCAAAUCAUUCUAAAUGGAUUCAGUUAAAUUGUAUUUUUUUGGACACAUGGGCUGUCAUACAUUUUUUUUAUUUGCACGUGCAACUGUGAACAUAUCUUUCUGUGGGUGUAUGUGCAACAUAAAAAGAAAGUAACAAUUAAGAUUUCAAUAAAUGAGAUUUUUUUACUAGCCCUUAUUA